ensembl:rRNA 5S_rRNA 5S ribosomal RNA
GCCCUUGGCCAUAUAGCAGCCUGAGGGCGCCCCACCCCAGAAACUAAGCAGUGUAGGGCCUGGCUGGUGCUUGGAUGGUGGACUGCCUGGGAUAAUCAGGGACUGGAAGCU